rnacentral:rRNA from 1 species
CCUACGGGUGGCAGCAGUGGGGAAUAUUGCACAAUGGGCGAAAGCCUGAUGCAGCCAAGCCGCGUGAGUGAAGAAUUAUUUCUGUAUGUAACGCCCUAUCAGCAGGGGAGAAGAUGACGGUACCUGAAUAAGAAGCCCCGGCUCACUACGUGCCAGAAGCCGCGGGUCUACGUCGGGGGCAGGCGUUAUCCGGAUUUUCUGGGGGUAAAGGGGGCGCAGAGGGCAGUGCAAGUCUGGAGUGAAAGCCCUGGGCCCAACCCCGAAACUGCCCUGGAAACUGUGCGGCUAGAGUACUGGAGAGGCAGGCGGAAUUCCUAGUGUAGCGGUGAAAUGCGUAGAUAUUAGGAGGAACACCAGUGGCGAAGGCGGCCUGCUGGACAGUAACUGACGCUGAGGCACGAAAGCGUGGGUAGCAAACAGGAUUAGAUACCCGUGUAGUC